AUUAUAUUUUCCUCCGGAUAUAUACCCAGGAGUGGGAUUGCUGGGUCAUGUGGUCAUCAUAAAUUACUUCAUUAUCACAAGUGUUGACAGAUCAGACUUGGCAAGAUCACAGGAGGUUUGAAAUGAGCUGAAGGUUUCUCAGGAUUUCUCCCCCUAGUUUAAGGUGGGGUCCUGUGUAGAUACCUCCCCUAGGCAGGGAAUAUAUCUAAACUUUUAUAUUCCUGGGCCCUCCUCUGGGUUUCUAAAUGGAAGUGUUUUGUGUGGUGGUUGAGAAAUCAAGCGAAUUGAUUACACAGUCAGUUGAAUCCUGUCCCGAAAGAGGCAGUUCUUCUUGGGAAUCUGCCAUGAGCUACAAGAAAUCUUUUUCUUAUUUACUAUCUUCCUUCCUCCAUUUGUUUUUCUAAAUGGACAACACUGGGCAUUGUUUCUAAAACCAUAAUUUUGUGGUGAAGAUCGUACGUGAUAGUUUAUUUCGGGAUGCUUUCAAAGCAGAAUGGCCAUCCCAUAAAAAUAACUCUUCCGCUUCUCACUCUCAGAAACAAGAUUUUCAGAUGAAGGAAGCAAGUGAGAAAGAGAAAUCUUGUAUGUCUGAGUGAUUCUUCUGGUAGUGAAAUCUGACAGGAUCCCUCCUGGGUUUAGAACUCCCCUUCCCAUGCAGAGUAAAAUCCAAAGGCUUUGCCUGAAGGCUUCAAGGUGUCUGGACCCAGGUACCCCUCUGGUCUCAUCCCUCCACCGUGCCCAUCUUGUUCACUCCUCUUAUGCCUCUUGCGGUUCCUCUGUUCUCAGGGACUUUGCAUGUUUGGUCCUCUCUGCCCUUCCUCGGUUGAGUUCCAACGAUGGCUCCCCGCCCUCAUUCAGUCUGCUCGAAUGUCCUCUCCUGGGACUCAUCCCUGAGCUCCCUCUUUAAAAAAGCAGUUUGUCCUCUUCCACCCCUUUGUCCAAGUCUCCUUUCCAGCACUUAGCAAUGACAUCGUGUUGCAUAUUUACCAGUUUAUGUGUUUUCCGUGUCUCCUCCUCCAUGAGUAAGUUCCAAGAAGUUCCUGCUUCAAUAAGCAUUUGCUGAUUGAAUGAAUAUGUAAAUAAACGGAUGGCUCUUGA